GUUGAUGUAGCUUAANUANANAAAGCAAGGCACUGAAAAUGCCUAGAUGAGUCGCCAGACUCCAUAAACA
rnacentral:tRNA from 1 species